rnacentral:rRNA from 1 species
UACGAAGGGGGCUAGCGUUGCUCGGAAUCACUGGGCGUAAAGGGUGCGUAGGCGGGUCUUUAAGUCAGGGGUGAAAUCCUGGAGCUCAACUCCAGAACUGCCUUUGAUACUGAGGAUCUUGAGUAUGGGAGAGGUGAGUGGAACUGCGAGUGUAGAGGUGAAAUUCGUAGAUAUUCGCAAGAACACCAGUGGCGAAGGCGGCUCACUGGCCCAUAACUGACGCUGAGGCACGAAGCGUGGGGAGCAAACAGG